rnacentral:rRNA from 1 species
GACGUAGGGCGCGAGCGUUGUCCGGAUUUAUUGGGCGUAAAGAGCUCGUAGGCGGCUCAUUGCGUCAACCGUGAAAACCAGCAGCUCAACUGUUGGCUUGCGGUUGAUACGGGUGGGCGUGGGAGUUCGGUAGGGGAGACUGGAAUUCCUGGAUGUAGCGGUGAAAUGCGCAGAUAGUCAGGGAGGGAACACCGGUGGGCGAAGGCGGGUCUCUGGGCCGAUACUGACGCUGGAGGAGCGAAAGCGUGGGGAGCGAACAGG